AUAGUCAAAUCCUACAAAUUAACAAACUAGCAUCCUAAUAAACUUUCACUGCCUACCCUAAAACCAAACACCCUCACUCCUUGCCUUCUUCUUCUUCUCCUUUCCUGCUCGACGGAUUUCUUCUUCUUCUUCUUUAAUCGUUUCUGGGUAUAGUAAGUUUUUGUGGGUUGUUCUUGUUGAAGGGUUUCAUCGUGGACAACGAGUAUGAUAAACUUAUCAGGCGCCUGAACCCGCCCAGACGGAAUUCAGCUUCAGCCCAUUAGCUUGGUUCUUCGUCUCGGCUGAACCGAUGCCAUGGCGAGCUUUGUUUCUGUUUCUAAGUUGUUCAUUGGUCGGAACUCAACCCCACAAUCAAAUCUAGCUGCACCCCACUCAUUCAGUUCAAAUUUACGAAGAACCAAUGCUCUCACUGUGAAAUCCGAUUACUCUUGCUUUGAAGUUAGGGAUUUAAGCUAUCGGCCUCCAGGGACAGAGCAUUCUCUUCUCAAUGCAGUUAAUUUUUCCCUUCGAGAGAAAAGUUUUGGGUUAAUUUUUGGACAGAGUGGAAGUGGGAAAACUACUUUAUUGCAGCUUCUUGCAGGUCUGAACAAACCAACUUCAGGUUCCAUUUAUGUCCAAAAGUAUGAUAAAGAUGGCAAACCAUGUCAGUCUUCUCAGCCAUUAACCCCUGAGAGAGUUGGCAUUGUCUUUCAAUUUCCAGAGAGGUACUUUAUAACAGACAGUGUGCUUGAUGAAGUCACAUUUGGCUGGCCACGGAAAAAGAGUGAUUUUCGUUUGAAAGAGAACCUUUCCUUGAGACUUCAAAGAGCAAUUAAUUGGGUGGGAUUAAAUGGCAUAGCCUUGGACAAAGAUCCUUACUCUCUAAGUGGUGGCUACAAGCGCCGUCUUGCCUUGGCAAUCCAAUUGGUGGAGAUCCCAGAUCUAUUAAUACUGGAUGAGCCUCUAGCUGGCCUUGAUUGGAAGGCUCGUACUGAUGUGGUGAAGCUUUUAAAGAAUCUAAAGAAAGACUUAACUGUACUCGUCGUCAGCCAUGAUCUCAAAGAGUUCGCUGGCUUAGUUGACUAUUCAUGGAGAAUGGAAAUGGGCGGUGUUCUUCGAGAAGAACCUCUGCGUAUUUAAUUUGUAACUUCUAACUAUGCGUUAAUGCUCAUGGCAUCCAGUGUGCACAAGUACAGUUUUAUUCUUGCUUUUGCAAGUCACUACAUCAACUCAAGGAUCGAAACUGGAUUUUGGCUUCACCUGAUUUCUGGAAAUCCUUUUGCAAAUGAUGGAACUUGAAGGCGUCAUCCCACUAAAUAAAUUGGUUUAUUUUCCAAAAAUUUAGUGUGAAAAGAAUAAUAUGAUUCAUGUAUGUAUUAUAUUUUUGCUUUUAAAGGGGUCCUUCCACUAUAAUUUGUAUUGAUUCAAUUUCCAUUUAUUCUUUGCCAAGUGGCUUAAGAUUCUGCAACCAAACAUUCUUUUCUAAGUAAUAUUCCCAGCGGCUGAUUCUA